GAUGAACGCUGGCGGCGUGCCUAACACAUGCAAGUCGAGCGAAAAGACGAGGAGCUUGUUCCUUUGACGUUAGCGGCGGACGGGUGAGUAACACGUGGAUAACCUACUUAUAUUUCGGGGAUAAUUUCGGAAAACCGGAUCUAAUACCAGAUAAUAUAUUGAACCGCAUGGUUCAAUAGUGAAUGACGGCUUUGCUGUCUCUUAUAGAUGGUUCCGCGCCGCAUUAGCUAGUUGGUAAGGUAACGGCUUACCAAGGCAACGAUGCGUAGCCGACCUGAGAGGGUGAUCGGCCACACUGGAACUGAGACACGGUCCAGACUCCUACGGGAGGCAGCAGUAGGGAAUCUUCGGCAAUGGGCGAAAGCCUGACGGAGCAACGCCGCGUGAGUGAUGAAGGUCUUCGGAUCGUAAAACUCUGUUAUUGGGGAAGAACAGAUGUGUAAGUAACUAUGCACGUCUUGACGGUACCUAAUCAGAAAGCAACGGCUAACUACGUG
rnacentral:rRNA from 1 species